rnacentral:rRNA from 1 species
UACGAAGGGGGCUAGCGUUGCUCGGAAUUACUGGGCGUAAAGGGCGCGUAGGCGGCACUGUUAGUCAGGCGUGAAAGUCCUGGGCUCAACCUGGGAACUGCGCUUGAUACGGCAGAGCUAGAGGAUGGAAGAGGGUCGCGGAAUUCCCAGUGUAGAGGUGAAAUUCGUAGAUAUCGGGAGGAACACCAGUGGCGAAGGCGGCGAUCUGGGCUGAUACUGACGCUGAGGCACGAAAGCGUGGGGAGCAAACAGG